UGGCUGAGCGGUAAAGCGCUUAGCUUCUGAACCUGAGGUCCCGGGUUCGAAUCCCGG
rnacentral:tRNA from 1 species